AACAUAAUAGAAAAAGUAAGAAUUUAAAAUCUUAUUAUAUAAAGUACGGUUUUGAAAGUUACUAACUCACGAGAUCAUGACACGUGUCAGGUCUAUCAUUGAGAUGUUGACAUAUGUCAAAAAAAAUUCUUUAAAAAGAAAAAAUAAAC
rnacentral:sRNA from 1 species